rnacentral:rRNA from 1 species
UAGCCAUGCGAGUUGAGCGUUUCUUGGCCAUAGUAGAAACGCAGCAUACGGCUCAGUAACACGUGGCUAACCUGCCCUUGAGACGAGGAUAACCCCGGAAACCUGGGGAUAAUCCGCGAUAGAUGAAAGCGCCUGGAAUGGUCUUUCGUCCAAAAGGUGUUAGGACCAUGCUUCCUGACAUCGCUCAAGGAUGGGGCCGCGACUGAUCAGGUUGUUGGCGGGGAAAAGGCCCACCAAGCCUAUAACCAGUACGGGCCAUGAUAGUGGCAGCCCGGAGAUGGGCACUGAGAUAAGGGCCCAGGCCCUACGGGGCGCAGCAGGCGCGAAAACUUCGCAAUGCGCGAAAGCGUGACGAGGUCAGCCCGAGUGCCGUCCGCUGAGGACGGCUUUUCUUUGGUUUAAGGAGCCGGGGGAAUAAGCGGGGGGGCA